GAUGAACGCUGGCGGCGUGCCUAAUACAUGCAAGUCGAGCGAACAGACGAGGAGCUUGCUCCUCUGACGUUAGCGGCGGACGGGUGAGUAACACGUGGAUAACCUACCUAUAAGACUGGGAUAACUUCGGGAAACCGGAGCUAAUACCGGAUAACAUGUUGAACCGCAUGGUUCAACAGUGAAAGACGGUCUUGCUGUCACUUAUAGAUGGAUCCGCGCCGCAUUAGCUAGUUGGUAAGGUAACGGCUUACCAAGGCAACGAUGCGUAGCCGACCUGAGAGGGGGGGAGGCCACACGGGAAGUGAGACAGGGACCAGAGAACGAGGGGAGGAAGAAGUAGGGAGGUGGAUGAAAUGAGGGGGAGGCAGACGGAGGAAAGCCGCGUGAAGGAAGAAGGGCUACGGAACGGAAAACUUGGUUAUGGGGGAAGAACAAAUGUGUAAGUAACUAUACAGGGCGUGACGGUACCUAAUCAGAAAGACGCGGAUAAAUACGUG
rnacentral:rRNA from 1 species